GUCGAACACAGGUAUCAUAUUCCUCCGCCAAGCAAGUUCAGUUCAUGCUCUGCUUACUGAGCCUCUCGUUCUAUCCCAUGGGAAAGAAUAACAAUGGCCACCACUCCUGACAUCAAGAGGACUUAUCCAGGCUACUUUGCAAGAAGACAGCCAGUCUCUUCAAUGGCUGUUGGUUCUGGGCACUCAUCCAGAGUGCCACAGAUACCUCUUUAUGCAUGAAGGAAGUACACGGUCCUCCAUCCCUUGUUACUCCCCACUAAAUCCUGCCUAUACCUUCAUUAAACUCUUCGAAUAACCCAUACUGAGUGUGCUGGACUCCGCUACAGAUGGUUUAUGCUGCAGUGCCAUUCUGUCCCUACCACCCACGUCCCCAUGCCAGAUAUAUUUUCUAAAUCUGUGGUGAGAAGAGACAGGAAGGGGAGAUAGGGGCCAUUUCCUACCACAGUUUCAGGCAUGAGUCUUCCAGCAUGCCCUUCUUGGAGAUUACAUGGGCAGCUUACCCUGGGGCAGCCAGACCUUCCAUCUUAGGUAACAGACCCCAGUGUUUAGGCCGUCUGCCCGUGUGGACUCUACACCAUUUCUCUCCCCUGAUGUAUGAGGACUGAAUGAAGAGAUGGCCCAUCUCAACGAGGCAAACAAAUAAAAAACAAGGUCACUAAUUCUGAAGAAGCAGAGUGAAAAGACAUCGACCUGAAACAGAGCAUUAAGAAGAGUCAAGAAAUGCAGCACUUCAGAAUAGGGCUCUCACAACAUCGAUAUGAAGCUGAAAAGUUACCCCAAAGCUGAGCAUCUUAAUGUUGAAGCAAUGCUGGUGAUCAUCGCCUGCAACUUUCCAUUUUGUUACCAUAUUCCUGAGAGGGGGACAACCAUCCUCUGAACACCAACAAGAACAGGGAGUUCUCUCUCAAGAGAGCAGCCCACCUCAUUCAACAGCUCUAAUAACUAAAAUGCCUGCAGUUAUAUAGGGGUAUGACUUGGUCAUUUGUCUUCCAGACACGGAAGAAGUACAUGGCCAUGCUCCCAUUAUCUAAAUUCAGCCACUAAAGAGCCCUGGGAGCAUCAUAGCAGCAGAUCAAACAGCAGAGAAUACUGCCCUGAUCCUCUGUGAUCCAUUGAGACUGGGAAAAAAGAAAAAACAAGACGACUGCAUCAAACCUAAGGAACUAGCCCUGGACCUUCAGACUCAGACUGGGAAUUACACAGUCAGCUCCUCUGCUUUUCCAGGUUGAAGUUGGCACAUUGUAGGACUUCUUGGCUUCCAUAAUUGGGUGAGUCCAUUUCCAUAAUAAACCUCUUUUUAGGUAUCUAUAUUUUUCUCUAGAGACAGAAU
rnacentral:lncRNA from 1 species